rnacentral:lncRNA from 1 species
GCUGUGGAGGGCCCCGCCUCGAGGCCGCUCGUCUCGGCCGACGUGGAAGCGCCGGCCAACCUCGCCUUCUUCCGAGGCUGGGGCAUAGCUCCCCCGGCCUCGGCCUCUUGCCUCCUCAGGCGGAAAAAAAGCGAUGUGUUGCUGGUCGGCAUAUGGGGAAUAUCUGAAAUCAAAAAUAUCACCAAGUGUCAGACCAGUAGCAGUAAAAACAAAGGACAAGGGAAGAAAGUAAUGUAACUACCCUUACCCUCGGGGCGCGCCGAGCUCAGACCCACGCUCGCCAGGGUGUCCUCCCGUAGGAGCUCGGUCAGGUCGUAGCCCUUUCCGAGGGCUCGGAGAGAGUCCAGGGUCCUCUGCUCCCUCCCUGAGGGCUCGGAGAGCUUGUUGAGGGCCUUCAACCGAGGGUGUCCCCACCUCGGAUUGAACCCCCACGGCGCCUCGGACGCGAGGAAGAAAAAUUUCCCCUUCCACUCGUGUAUAGAGGAAGGGGCCCCGCGGAAGAGCGACAUACCGCCUUGGAAGGCAAAGUAUAGCCACUCCGCGUCCGCCGGGUUCUUCUUCAACAGAAAACACCGGCGGAAAAUAUUCACUGAGAUCGGGAUCCCAUGCCCGAGACA